rnacentral:lncRNA from 13 species
AUGAUGGCUGGAUUCCAUUGCCUGUAUGGGCCAGGUGUCAACCACGCUGAGAUACAUGCCUGUGAUAGGGGAUGGAAGAUUACAGUCAUUCAAAGAAGGACUCACAGCAUGAAGCUUAGAGAAUGCAGACAUAGAGGUUGGAGUUGUUGGGAUUUGAGCAUCUUGUAACUAUGCAGACAAUAUAUAACAAGACAGACACAAGGACUUCAUUCUCAACAUUCUUAAGCCAAGAAAUCAUAGCCAGCAAAACACCUAUCAUUAACUUCUUAUGUGAGAGAAUAAAAAUAAACAUCUAACUUCUUUAAGCUUCCA